CUUGAUUCGCAUAGGAUUUUUCAAUAAAAUCCUGAAAAUAUGCUUUAAAGUAUUAAUGCAUUGCGAAAAACAAAUAUUUCAUCAAAUAAAUUUAAGUCAGAUAUUCCUAUGAUAUUCCUUUUCAUAUUGGAUACACAUUUUAUUAAGUCUACUGCAGACACUUUGUAGUCAAAGCGUUUCAACAGAGGUACUACACAGGCGUCAAAAGGCGUCAUUAUGGAGUAAAGGGGGUGGCGUCAAAAGGCGUCACUAUGGAGGAAAGGGUUAAUAAA
rnacentral:lncRNA from 1 species